AAUGAACGCUGGCGGCAGGCCUAACACAUGCAAGUCGAACGGAUCCUUCGGGAUUAGUGGCGGACGGGUGAGUAACGCGUGGGAACAUACCCUUCGGUACGGAAUAGCCUCGGGAAACUGGGAGUAAUACCGUAUGUGGUCGAGAGACGAAAGAUUUAUCGCCAAAGGAUUGGCCCGCGUUGGAUUAGGUAGUUGGUGGGGUAAUGGCCUACCAAGCCGACGAUCCAUAGCUGGUUUGAGAGGAUGAUCAGCCACACUGGGACUGAGACACGGCCCAGACUCCUACGGGAGGCAGCAGUGGGGAAUCUUAGACAAUGGGGGAAACCCUGAUCUAGCCAUGCCGCGUGAUCGAUGAAGGCCUUAGGGUUGUAAAGAUCUUUCAGGUAGGAAGAUAAUGACUGUACCACCAGAAGAAGCCCCGGCUAACUCCGUGCCAGCCGCCGCAGUAACAC
rnacentral:rRNA from 1 species